UUGAAACCUGUAGACUAGGAUGUCCUCCUGUGCACAGCUGACAAAGUCACAUCAGCUACAACCUGUGAGAAGGAUUUCACCUUGCACCUGCCAGUAGUAAGCAUGAGAUCUCUUCAACUUCAGUUCUCCAUUCUGUAUCUUCAGGUAAGGACAUCAGCUCUCCAUUCUGUAUCUUCAGUUAAGAGCAGUCAACAUAACUUGGUACAUUUGGGCACUUCACCUCUAAGAGUCCAAAGUGUGGUCUAACACUGGAAUCAAAUAUGAUGCCAUCUGGAGAGGAUCCUAACCACGGAGCAUCUCGGUGCACUACGAAGCCACACGGAAAGAAGUUAACAAUCUUCAGUGUGCAGUACUCCUGUACAGCCACUGGCUCCAUGGCUAGCCCCCUCUUCAUCUCCAUGGUCUGUAUACCAGAUCCCUUAUCUCCAUGGUCUGUAUACCAGAUCCCUUGAACAUCUGCUCAGCUAGGUGGUCAGCUGAGGUCUCUCCCAGGACAUGGCAAACCUCUCGGAAAAGAGAGGAUGUUAUUCUAAUUUUCCUGAGCUGAUGUUCAACCUCGACUCUGUGUGAUAUCUUGUAGGUUGUCUCUAAUGCAUUGAGGUGGAACUGCUCCUGAUGGCUAAGGACGUAAGCACACUGGGAAGCCUGUAGCCAUCCAAUGGAAGUAUUGGUGGAGAAGGGGCGUCGGCAAUCUUCACAAUUUCACAGGUCUUUGGCUGUGGAAGCUGAUAGGACAGAACACUGCCGCAUUGCACUGGCCCAAAGGUGGACUCGACCAGGGCACAUCAGGUGACAAUGGAAAUGUCAGAAGAGGGGCAGUAAGUGGAGAAAAGUUGGCAUACGUUUCUGAGAUACAGAGAAGGUCCAUAUCAGGCAUGUAUCCACUGGUGGUGCAACAGGAAUGUUUAGUUGAGAGUAGUGCACUGUCUGGUAAAGAAGGGCCACCAGAUGAUUGCACAGAGCACUUCCUGCAACACAGGAGCAGUGGCUUUGGACCACUAUCACUGGUACGGAGUGCUUUAUUAACACCAUCUGUGAAGAUAAGUGUGAUGAAAGACUGAAGUGAGAAACAAGAAUUUCCAAACUCUGCAUCAACAGAUCUUUACCAAAUAACCUGUUAAGUGGGCAAUUCGAAAUUGGGAUUGGGACCCAUCAUUAAUAUCUAUCACUGAUAAGAUUAAACGUUGAUACUGUCUCCAACACACCAUAAUGACAGUGUCCCACAGGAGAUGUUUAAACUUCUUAUGGCUGAGGGGCAGUAUUGAGUAGCUUGGAUGAAUAAGUUGCCCAAAGUAAACUGCCUACUCCUCAGUCUCAGUUGCUAAUAUGUAUAUUAUUAUUAGUAUUGGAUAGAAAACACUCUAAAGUUUCUAAAACUGUUUGAAGGAUGUCUGUGAGAAUAACAUAACUCAUAUGGCAAGCAAAAUCCUGAGGAGAAAUCAAAACAGGAAGUGAGAAAUCUGAGUUUUGAAUGUAUUCACCAGAGUCCAAUGAAAUCCCCUUGAGAUAUUAAUGAUGUUGCACUGCCUAGGGGUUCCACUAGAUGUCAACCAUCAAUAGAAAUUAUAAUGAGAUUUCUAUGGUGUUGUGGGAGUGAAUGAUAGCAGAAUCAGUCAGGUGUCUGGCAGUCAGACAUUUUCUGAUCAUGCUUAUUCCUCAUGGUCAUCACUUGCGUUCCAUGGCUCAUGAAAACAAGAAGGAAUAGUCCGGUUGGAACUUUAUUGAAGGUAUAUGUUAAAAACAUCCUAAUGAUUGAUUCUGUACAUAGUUUGAAAUGUUUCUUCGACCUGUAAUAUAACCUUUUGAAGUUUUUGUCCGAUGUAACGCUGACCAGAAUGAACGUUUGGAUAUGUAUACCAAACGCACUAACAAAAUAAGGUAUUUGGACAUAAAUAACGGACAUUUUCAAACAGAACAAACAUUUAUUGUUGACCUGGGAUUCCUGGAGUGUUUUCUGAUGUAGAUCAUCAAAGGUAAGGGAAUAUUUAUCAUGUAAUUUAUUGUUUACGUUGACGUCAACAUGGCGGCUAUUGUGACAAAUGUUUCUGAGCGCCGUCUCAGAUUAUUGCAUGGCUGGCUUAUUCCGUAAAAAAAAUUUGAAAUCAGACACAGCGGUUGCAUUAAGGAGAGGUAUAUCUAUAAUUUCAUGUGUAUAACUUGUAUUAUCAUCUACAUUUAUGAUGAGUAUUUAUGUUGAAUGAUGUAGCUAUGCAAAAUCACUGGAUGUUUUUGGAACUAGUGAAUGUAACGCGCCAAUGUAAACCUUAUCAAACAAAACAUACAUGUAUUGUGUAACAUGAAGACCUGUUAGUGUCAUCUGAUGAAGAUCAUCAAAGGUUAGUGAUUCAUGUUCUCUAUUUCUGCUUUUUGAAACUCCUCUCUUUGACUGGGAAAAAAUUGGCUGUGUUUUUCUGUGGCUAUAUGUGGUGACCUAACAUCGUUUGUGGUGCUUUUGCUGUAAAGCAUAUUUGAAAUCGGACACUGUUGUGGGAUUAACAACAAGAAUAGCUUUACAAUGGUAUGAGAUUUUUGAUGUUUUGAAAAUGGCGCCCUACACUUUGACUGGCUGUUGUCAUAUCGCUCCUGUUAACGGGAUUGCAGCCAUUAGAAGUUUUUAACAAGGUCCCUAGUAGCUAUCUAUAACCUUUCCAUACUCUCAUGCUGUGCGGCUUUUCACUCUUCCUCGUGGACCUGUGACAGGCAGCCCUCACGGUGAUCUCCCCUGUCAAUGUGUCUUUGUGAGAUACUGUGUAGAAGACAUGAAUAACAAUUAUUUUUAGCUAGCAAAUAUAGCUAGCAAGCAUAACUUAACCAAGCUAACGAAAAUACACACAUUCUCAGGUAGAUUCUGUCAACUUUACAUACUUUUACAAAGUAACUAGCUAGCUACAGUUAAUAGUUAAAUCAGCUAGCUAAUGAUACAUCAUUAAUAUUAAUUUGAGGCAAGUCCUGAAGACACCUAGUAAAAAACUGCGGCAUAUUGGUAGUAACGUUAUAUCGUCGAUAACAACUCGACUGACCGGAAAUUGCCAGACCGAUGGGAAGUGUGUUUAGAACGUUCGAUCAUGGAAUGUGCAUAAGGGCUAUUGGGUAGCCUUUCCCUGCUGAUGGAAAAUUCCAAUCUAAUAAAGAAUUCAGAGAUGCUGUUGAGAGUUGGCACAAUGAAAUGAAAGAAAUCAAAAGCUAAAUACACCAGCGUUUUGAUGUUAGCGUUCUAUCAACCAAAAUAAAAAUCGAUAAAACCAAGAUUAGUAGAUGUACUCAGUACUAACCAUACUAUUUGUGAAGUAAAUUGAGUAUUAUGACAAAUUAAAAUAAUGACUUUUCAAAUAAGUUACGUAAUACAUUAUGUUGGCUGACAAUUUGUUAGUUACGCUGUCCUUAUGAACCGCAUAGAAUAUCAUUACAGCAGUAUGUACUGGUAUGUUAGCUACCCUAAUGUUAGUUGGCUACUAAUACAUCAAACUUGACACUAUAUUAACUAUAUGCUAUCUAACUACCCAACGGUUAUUGACUUGAUUGUUCAGUCAUUCUUAGCUAAAGGGUAUAGUCAUCGUGCGUUCUCAAUGGACAUGGUUAACUCUGAUUUCAGAGCACUUUCGACUGAGUGUACCAGAGCACAGAAUAACUGUUGAAUUUACGGAACGCUCAACACCCUGGUGUCAGUGAACGUUGGGGGGGAAAGAGCGUAAUUAAAUUGUUGCCAGCAACACAGUUAGUCACUAAUGCUCUGGAUAACAUGAAAACUCCCUAACCAGCUCUGCUUGGGUGUACUGACCUGGCCUAUAGGGAGCUCCCAGAUAAGUAAGUCCUGGCCAUUUCUUUGUUUGUUUUUUUCCCUACGUUUUACCACACACACCAGCACCAUAACUCAAAUGUUAUCAAUAUGUGUUAAGUGGUGUUAAUACUGUUUGAUUUAUUUAGUUGUAAACUGGGUACGCAGAAUGAUGGAAAUGUUUGAAAUGGUUUCUGAGAUACAGGGAAAGAAAAGGGGGAAAAAACACUUAAUGCGGUUGAAUGACCUUUGUUGUGACUUCCUGGUGAAGCCUGAUCACCCUCACUAGAAAGACUGCAGACAUCGGGUGAGAUUUAAAAUGGGCUAUGUAAACACUAAUAAUUAUGAAGAAGCUUAUAAUUUAGCAAUUGUCCUAUGUGUGAUUUGGAACAUGAGAAGGAGAGAGAGAAUGAGGUACACCUGUCUCUAGUCUUUUUUACCAUUACCUUAUGGGAUACAAUUAUUUCCUUAUGGACUAUCAAGAGUUGUAAUUCUAAAUUAAAUUGUUGUUCUAAUUAUAUAUUUUUUAUUUUAUUUACCCGGCAGUCUUCUUUUUAAUUACCGGGGCCCUUUGGUAAAUAUGCCAAUUUGUUUCUUCUCAUGUCUGCCUAUAAAAGGAAGAAAAGAUUUUCCCACCUAAUUUAUAGUAUAUUGUUGUUUUGUUUGUCUAGUUUGACAAAUCUCACCAGAUUGGAUCUGCUGCACGGUCGGGAUUUCUCCUUAAGGGGUAACUCUGCGAGGUUGCCAGUACGAUGAGGGAGUAUAAGCAGAAUGGUUUCAACAAUUAGGCGAUAGUGACUACAGAUGGUAUUUUGAUGCAUGGAAGGAAUAAAUCGACGAACACAGUGAACACCCCCCCCAACUGGCUGAAGAAAUGGUGACACGUGUUCACUACGACCUUGUCCUGCACCACUUCUACCGUGAGACCUGAGUCCGAGCUAGCAACCUGUACACAGCAUCCAGUCGAAGUUUUCAACUGCCUUCUUCUCUCAUGCCAUUUUCUCUCAGGAGUGCGACAUGAGUCCACGUGGAGUGAGCUCCUGUCCAAACUCCUAUCAUGCCGCUGGUGUACUGGUAGACAAAUGACAGCGGCACCACUGUAAAUGACAGUGGCGGCUCAGGUGAGAGACAUUAUCAAGGGCCAUCCACUUUGGGCAUGUGCCAUUGGAGGACAAACUGACGCUAUCUGAAGAAGAACAUGAAGACACGCCAGAAGGAUGAGUGCCCGUAAUUAAUUUAGGCUUAUCCAACAUUGUUUAUUUUGUAUAUCAGGUUGAUUGUGGAUGUCUGGACACUGCAAAAUGUAUAGUAAUUUAGACUAAGAAUGCAUUGAGAUACCAAUCUGUCAUUACCACAAGUGUUGAGAAUAGUUAAUGCUGGGAAUAUGAAAUGAAUAUACUGUUUGUUAUCUGCUGACUGCCACGUAUUCAAAAAGGAUGUACUUCUCUAUAAAAGCUGAGACCCAAACACUUUUCGUUGGGCCUUAACUGCGCAACUGUUGAAGUGAAUAGUUAACUUCUCCAUUUUUGCUAAUCUUAUAAUAAAGAAUACAGUCUCUCUCCUUUUGGUUAGAAAUGACCACAAUAUCUCAAAGCUCAAGCCAACUAAAAGGUGGCAUAAUGUCAGCCGAAUCCCCUUACUAUAAACUUAGUCCCACCUACUUGAGGAUCUUCUUUUUUUGCCAUCUAUUUCCUGUGUUUUGAGGGGUGCAAAAUCCACUUGUCACUUUAAUCUUGCUGAAUUGAUUGCUUUCAUUUUACUCCUGCCACUCUUUCAUACUCUUGCUUGUUGUAACGAUCGUCUUCGGAAAAAAGAGAGGAGGACCAAAGCGCAGCGUCGUAAGUGUUCAUGAUGAUUUUAAUUAAAGAAAGCACUGAACACUGAAUCAAAACAAUAAACGAUGACGUGAAUUUACAAAGCCGAAACAGUACCGUGUGGCCCAAACACUCACACGGAAACAAAUACCCACAAACCAAAAGUGAAACCCAGGCUACCUAAGUAUGAUUCUCAAUCGGGGACAACAAUUGACAGCUGCCUCUGAUUGAGAGCCAUACUAGGCCGAACUCAGAAACCAACAUAGAAAAGCAAACAAAGACUGCCCACCCCAACUCACGCCCUGACCGUACUAAAACAAAGAAUAAAAUAACAGAACUAUGGUCAGAACGUUACACUUGUGCCUGUCUUUUUUCCCCCGUUAUGUUAUGACCCUGGUAAUGGCUGAAAUGGGUUCAAUGGAAUGCAAUGUCUUUCCGUUGCAUAUAUAAGAAUGCUAAAGAUUCGUCAGGGAUUUUACCUAUCGUCUCGACUCUUACAUCACAAGAAAAAUAAAGAUGUAUUAACUUUA